ACUUUCAAUAAUCAAAUAAACAGCCUUCUGUGUAUCUUGGAAAAAGCAUUUCCAAAAAACAUUUACAUGUCCGUUCUGAAUUUGCCCUCAUAGAUUUCAGUUUACAGGAGACAACACUGAAUAUAAUUCACUUUUCAUUUAAGGCCAUGACAGCUUCCACCUAGUAGAAUUUCCCACGAACGCCACGAUAAUUAUAACAUGAAAUAUCAUGGCUCAAUACCUUACGAUCGGGCCACUGCAUCCACUUUAUGUUCAAUAUAGAAAAGCCCCAACAAUCAGGGGAAAAAAAUGGACAUGAGCCUGUCAGCCUUUUCUAUUUUCAUUCUAUUUCUUAGUGUAACUAAAAGCCUCACCUUUCAGAUUAGAUAUGUCUGAAUCACAGUGGUUAAGGGGAUCUUUGUGUGAGUCUUGGCCAUCGGUAAUAUGCUGUUAGGACUUCCUGUACGAUGUACAAAUGUGGGUCACACCUCAGGCAGAGAGUUCACCUACAAAAAUUAUACCCACACUGUCGAUUAGCUUGCAACCUGAGGCCAGAGCUGUCCUCAUUUUUCUAUAACGCUGUCACUAGAUCAUUCUCAUGUUUUAUUUAGUUCUGCCUUUCUCAAAUACAUCAAUUUCUCUUCUUUAUGAAUUUUUAGAAAGUUUGUAUCCCUGGGAUGGAGUUUCAUAUGCCAUUUUCCAUCAGUGCUUUGUUAUUUAUGGGUGUUAUCAGUAUCCCGAGAUGUUACCUGUUUUGCAGAGGCUCCGGCCCAUCUUUGUAGUAGCUUUGAGGAUAAAAACUAAGUCGCUAAUUGUGGUAUGCGUUAUGGAGAAAAAAAAAUCGGAAAAUCAGAAGUUAUUUCUAUAGGCAUAUUAUAGUUAUUUCCUCUCUGUUGCUAUUUUUUAAAGUUUUAUACCUUGGGUAAUUUUCCUUUAAUAUUGCAUUGAGAAAUAAGUAAAUGGUUGAAAGAAAAAUGGCAUGACUAAUAAUCAUGUCUUUAUUGUAGCCUACAAAGAUAAUAGAUUAUUGAUCCUGAGUCCUGAUCCAAGUCCUGACCUGAAUGCCCUUUCUGUUUGCAGAUGCAAGUAGGAAGUCUAUUCAGUUCAGUUGAACAGUCCAUCCAAGUGAGUUACCUGGCUUAGAACCUCCAACACUUAUUGAGCACCUCAAUGCAUUUUGAGAAACAAAGAUAAUUAAAACAGUCCCUCCACUCUCAAGGAGCUCCCAACGAGCUUUCCCAUUCAUUUGAAAAAUCAUUUUCCAAGACUGAAGUAUUUCAAAAUCUGAAAACAUUAUUUCUCCUCAUAAUUUUAUUUUUUAAAAAAUCGUCAAGCAAGACACCUAAAACUCAAAAGACAAUGUGAGUUGGGAAUGGAGAGGGGAACCCAGAGAAUGAUUAUGAUCCUUUAGUUCUGAUACGUGUCUAUGGAAAAAUGAGAGGAUGGUCUGCUGAUGACCACAGCUCUCAGUUUCUUCACUAGUUCCGUCCAAUCAAGCUUCCUCUGGGAUGAUGACGCAGGAUUAGAACAUGACAAGGAGGAAACCAAGAGGAAUACAAAUUUAACAUUUUAUUUUUAAAGCUCAAUUUAGGGUUUAGAGAUGCAAAUAAAUUAAUUUGGCCUUCUGCUUGGCAGUUCCUGAAUCACUUUUAUCUCAGCUUCAUUCUAUAAAGCAUAUUUGUUAUCUCUUCCCUUUGGAUUUGUUUGGCAAUGCCAUGUUUUGUUCAGUGUUAAAUUUGUUCAUGUCUUCACUGGGUCCCAACAUUUUAACGGUAGGCUGUCAAUCUGAUCAGCAAAGGGGAUGGGUGUUUUUACAUAACAACCGACAUGCUGUGGUAUCUCCUGGAGACUCCUGGAUUUCAAAGUACAAUAAAGGGAAAGUGGGCAGCAUUACCUUCUAUAUUUAAAUAUGGUUGGGGGUUGAAUGAGCAAUUUUCAUUUUCAUCUGACCGAUUUGAAUGUGAUGGGUAGACAAGAUGAUUAUCAUCUACCUCUGUGGUGAAAAAAGCUCCUUUUAUUACCACAGAAAAUUAUUUGGAGUCUGAAGGCAACAUUAUAUGAGACAGAAAAGUAAUGGAGACAGAGAGCUUUUUGCAGAUAUUACCUUUAUUAUCAUUUAAACUAUUGAUAUAAAAUAAUUUUGAAAAUUUUGGAAGAGGAAAAUGCUAGGAGAAAAAAGAUAGUAGAAGGGAAAGGGAUGUUCGUGUCUCUGAUUCCAAGAGAUUGGUUGGAAUGUUACUUAUGGAGGAUUAUGAGGGCCUGUGUCUUUCUAAAGGACAGAUCACAGAAGAUCAGUUUACUUUAAGAGGGAUCUCCAAGCCUGAAAUUCAGAUCUAUAUGAAGAUGAUACAAGGGAAUGAGAAAUGGGAGGCGUGGAAGCGUGUGAAAGAUGAGAAAGAACCACUCUGUUUUGGAAAACUGAUAAUGUGAUCUGUGCUGAACAUUCCAGGCAGUGGGAAGGAAAUGAGCGUACCCGUGCUAAUCUUUCCUACUGAAUCUAGAAAAUAGUUGACUUUUUGUAAUGACACAGAUAUGCACAUCCAAGCAAAAUAAAAUAAAUUCCUUACACUUUCAAGACUGACCAAAAGAUUUUCGAGGAUGCCUGGGUGGCUCAGUCGGUUAAGCAUCUGACUCCUGAUUUCGGCUCAGGUCAUGGUCUCAGGGUCGUGAGAUCCACCCCCCACCCCCCUUUGGGUUCCACACUGUGUGUGGAGCCUACUAGAGGUUCUUUUUCUCUCCCUCUGCCUCCCCUCGCCGCCUAAAAGAAAAAAAAA
rnacentral:lncRNA from 1 species